rnacentral:rRNA from 1 species
GUUAGGAAUAUUGGACAAUGGACGCAAGUCUGAUCCAGCCAUGCCGCGUGAGUGAUGAAGGCCUUCGGGUUGUAAAGCUCUUUAGCCGAUGAUUAUAAUGACUGUAGUCGGAAAAUAAGCCCCGGCUAACUUCGUGCCAGCAGCCGCGGUAAUACGAAGGGGGCGAGCGUUAUUCGGAAUCACUGGUCGUAAGGCGUGCGUAGGCGGUUUUGUAAGUUGGGAGUGAAAUCCCAGGGCUCAACCCUGGAAGUGCUCUCAAAACUACAAGACUUGAAUUCGGGAGAGGAUAGCGGAAUUGUCAGUGUAGCAGUGAAAUGCGUAGAUAUUGACAGGAACACCAGUGGCGUAAGCGGCUAUCUGGACCGACAUUGACGCUGAGGCACGAAAGCGUGGGGAUCAAACAGGAUUAGAAACCCUUGUAGUCC